AUUGAACGUUGGCGGCAGGCCUAAUACAUGCAAGUCGAACGGCAGCACAGAGAGCUUGCUCUUGGGUGGCGAGUGGCGGACGGGUGAGUAACGCGUAGGAAUCUACCCAGUAGCGGGGGAUAGCCCGGGGAAACUCGGAUUAAUACCGCAUACGCCCCACGGGGGAAAGGCCGGGAUCUUCGGACCGGUCACUAUUGGAGGAGCCUGCGUUGGAUUAGCUUGUUGGUGGGGUAAAGGCCUACCAAGGCUACGAUCCAUAGCUGGUCUGAGAGGACGAUCAGCCACACUGGAACUGAGACACGGUCCAGACUCCUACGGGAGGCAGCAGUAGGGAAUAUUGUGCAAUGGGCGAAAGCCUGACACAGCCAUGCCGCGUGUGUGAAGAAGGCCCUAGGGUUGUAAAGCUCUUUCGGCCGGGAAGAAAUCGCACAGGUUAAUACCCUGUGUGGAUGACGGUACCGGAAUAAGAAGCACCGGCUAACUACGUGCCAGCAGCCGCGGUAAAGUCAG
rnacentral:rRNA from 1 species